UACGUAGGAUGCAAGCGUUGUCCGGAAUUAUUGGGCGUAAAGAGCGCGCAGGCGGUUUUACAAGUCAGAUGUGAAAGAGGCCGGCUUAACCGGCAAGGGUCAUUUGAAACUGUGAGACUAGAGUACAGCAGAGGAUAGCGGAAUUCCCGGUGUAGUGGUGAAAUGCGUAGAUAUCGGGAGGAACACCAGUGGCGAAGGCGGCUAUCUGGGCUGAAACUGACGCUGAGGCGCGAAGGCUAGGGUAG
rnacentral:rRNA from 1 species